rnacentral:lncRNA from 1 species
AUACUUUGUCUCACAUGAUCCACAAUAUGACUAGGUAAAUACUCUUGCAUACUAUUAUAAUCCCAUCCAGAAUCCUUCAAAAAAACCUCAAUAUCAUCCAAAGAAUGACAACCGUGCACUUCUGUCGGAUGUAGAAACAAAGGACCAAGACUAGUCCAAUUGUCAAACCAAAUGCUAGAUGUUCCUCCUUUAGGUUCCCAC